rnacentral:tRNA from 1 species
UAGAAAAUAGUGCAAGAGGAAGUACGGAGGGUUUUGAUCUCUCAGGUGCAGGUUCGAUUCCUGUUUUUCUAA